AUUGAACGCUGGCGGCAUGCCUUACACAUGCAAGUCGAACGGCAGCACGGGGCAACCUGGUGGCGAGUGGCGAACGGGUGAGUAAUGCAUCGGAACGUGCCAUUGAGUGGGGGAUAACGUAGCGAAAGUUGCGCUAAUACCGCAUAUUCUGUGAGCAGGAAAGCAGGGGACCGCAAGGCCUUGCGCUCUUUGAGCGGCCGAUGUCAGAUUAGCUAGUUGGUGAGGUAACGGCUUACCAAGGCGACGAUCUGUAGCGGGUCUGAGAGGAUGAUCCGCCACACUGGAACUGAGACACGGUCCAGACUCCUACGGGAGGCAGCAGUGGGGAAUUUUGGACAAUGGGCGCAAGCCUGAUCCAGCCAUGCCGCGUGCGGGAAGAAGGCCUCGGU
rnacentral:rRNA from 1 species